UUUUUUUUUUUUGGUUGUUUUUGGUUUUCUUUCUACUUUCCAUCUCGAUAGCUAGGGAUUUUUUCUACUUUCCCUUUCAAACACCUUCUUUGCACUCUCAACACCAUUGAUAUCGCCUUCUCUAUUUCCACAUAUUUCCUCCAUUUUUGAACACCGCAUGUGCAAAACAAACUGUAAAGAAGCAGCCAAAUACGAGGUCACGAAACCAUCUGUUUUCACCUUCUGCCCAAUUCAGGUCUUGAAUCGCAUUUCUUCGACAGAUCUCGGCUCUUGGAGUCAGGUUUCCUUCUCUUCUCUUCCUCCUCUUCUCUCCAUUGACACCCUUGCUCUCUCUCUCUCUCUCUUUUAUUUUCUUCAACCUCUGGAAAACCUAGCUUACAGUUUCUUCUCAAAUAGCAAGGGGUUUGAAUUAUCUACAUGAGAAUUAUAAACUGAAGAUGGCACAUAGGGGUAUUAAAACUGCUAAUAUCCUUGUUGAUGAUGCUCUAAACGCUAAGAUAUCAAACUUUGGGAAUCCUAUCCUUUAUGCAGAGGAUGGACAGGACAAUGAAUUUAAGGUCAUCAAAGUAGAAGCAACACGGUGAGUAAACAAAGAACCAGUACCCCCUUUGAACUUAAUUUGUACUAAUUUGUAAAUGAAAUGGCUAUUUAAUUUUAUACAUAUAAUCAAAUUAUAAGGGAAAGAACAAGUACUAUAAUAACCAGUAUUUCUGGAUCGAUACAAUGGAUACAUCAUAAAUGGCUCUCGAGUACCCAAUGUACGGAAAGAUAUCGUAAACAUAUAUGUCGAUGGUUAUGGUGUUGUUGUACUUGAAAUUGUUAGUGUGAAGAAAAAUGCAGAAAAUAAAUUCAACCAGAAGCAGCGUGAGUUUCUGGCAGAGGAAGCUUGUCUUGUAGAAUCAAAACACAAGCUACUGGAAUUAGUGGAUAAUUGACCAUCUUAACGUUAGUGAUGAAGUGCACCAAUAUAUCCACCGCUAUCAGACCCACAACGUCUAAUGUUGUAAGUUCUCUCAUUGGUAUGAAAACCAUUAACAAAAUCUCUAUGCUUUCCUCCAUGGAUAAGAUCUCCCAGAAUCUUUGCAAAAACUAUUUCAAAUCUCUUCUUCAUGACGAUGAACAACCACCACCUUUUUGUUUUCUUGAACUAUGCAUAAUGUUCGAAUAUUUCUAGAAUGUAUAGCAUAGAAACAUUCUGUUUAUGAAUAAUGCAGACGAUCUUUUAGAUGCAUCCACUUCUUUCUGUCUAUGUGAAUGCCUACACAAAUAUGCAAGUGCAUGUUUUAUUUUUAUUUUUAUUUUUAUUUUUUUUUUCAUGUUGUUUUGAAGUUGAUCCAAAUUUCCUAUGGUUGCUUUGCUUUGUCUCUAUUCAAGAAUAAAUAAUGCGAAAUUUUUUGCCAGGCUGUUAGAGAAUAGUUAGUACAACUGAUGUUUGAAACAUUUAACAUAUCGAGCUUCUGUGCUUCAGAGCAAGCAGUAUUGUCACUCUAUGCAGUAAGACGAAUCUCAAGAUGCACUGUUGAUAUUGGCCAUGGAAAGAUAGCAUUGGAGAAGCAAGUGAUGGAUCGAGUAGAAAAUUGAAACACAAAAUUUGCAAUCGUAGAGUUACAAGUGCAUGCUAAGAAAAUUACACACACAUUCACAGAGAUAAAGAAAGAGAGAGAUAAAUAGAGUUCUUCAAGAGGAAGUAUGUUCAUGAGGCUUACAACAAAGAACUAAGCAUAUGAGCUAGGUGGUGAUGCAUUUUUCUUUACUUUUGUCAUGUUUAUAGAUACAUCUUUUUUAUUAUAUUAGCCUUUUAAUAAUAAAGAUAAUGGUGGCUUAUACUGUUCAUUUAACGAAGAUAACGAUGUGUUAUUAAUGUAAUGAUAACUAAUUGACCUUAUAGAAAAUGUGUCAUGUUUAUUUAUUAGAA